GACGAACGCUGGCGGCGUGCUUAACACAUGCAAGUCGAACGGAAAGGCCCUGCUUUUGUGGGGUGCUCGAGUGGCGAACGGGUGAGUAACACGUGAGUAACCUGCCCUUGACUUUGGGAUAACUUCAGGAAACUGGGGCUAAUACCGGAUAGGAGCUCCUGCUGCAUGGUGGGGGUUGGAAAGUUUCGGCGGUUGGGGAUGGACUCGCGGCUUAUCAGCUUGUUGGUGGGGUAGUGGCUUACUAAGGCUUUGACGGGUAGCCGGCCUGAGAGGGUGACCGGCCACAUUGGGACUGAGAUACGGCCCAGACUCCUACGGGAGGCAGCAGUGGGGAAUACUGCACAAUGGGCGGAAGCCUGAUGCAGCAACGCCGCGUGCGGGAUGACGGCCUUCGGGUUGUAAACCGCUUUCGCCUGUGACGAAGCGUGAGUGACGGUAAUGGGUAAAGAAGCACCGGCUAACUACGUG
rnacentral:rRNA from 1 species